rnacentral:ncRNA from 1 species
UCCUGAGAAUGCCAAACCUGUCCGUAAGGCAGGGACGGAAAGCCGCGGGUCCCUUUGAAUCAAAGGGAAAGCCGGGUUGCCUGG